UACGUAGGGGGCAAGCGUUGUCCGGAAUCAUUGGGCGUAAAGCGCGCGUAGGCGGCCCGGUAAGUCCGUUGUGAAAGUCAAAGGCUCAACCUUUGAACGCCGAUGGAUACUGCCGGGCUAGAGUCCGGAAGAGGCGAGUGGAAUUCCUGGUGUAGCGGUGAAAUGCGCAGAUAUCAGGAGGAACACCUAUUGCGAAGGCAGCUCGCUGGGACAUUACUGACGCUGAGACGCGAAAGCGUGGGGAGCAAACAGG
rnacentral:rRNA from 1 species